rnacentral:lncRNA from 1 species
AUGGGGGAGCUACUCCCCGAUUACCGGAACCCACAGGUUGCAGUAUACCAAGCAUCUUCCAAGCCCAGUUGAUCCUAUUGUCAAUUGUCAGUUUCCAGCUGCUUUUGGUAAAAAGAAAUGUAGUCACAUAUAUGGCAAUGAAGAUUCAUCGAGUUUUCAGAUGAUGUAUGCCAAUGACUGGUUAGCAAACCAUGUACAUAAAACUGAAUACUUUUGCCAUAGCCUGGAUCAACAAAGU